rnacentral:lncRNA from 1 species
GCAGCUGGGUAAUCACCCACAAAAUGGAUGGGACUUGAACAAAUGGUACAAACAUCUUGCACAGAUGUGGAUGGGGUGGAGGUCUGCCCAACUUGUAGUAGUCGGUCGAGUUUUUGUGCCAGUUCAUUCACCUUAUUAUGGAUGUCUAUGGAAUGGCCUACCUUGUAAAUUCCAUCUCUUUUUAGUCCAAUCAUGGAAGAGUCUCUAC